UCCGGUUGAUCCUGCCGGACCCUACUGCUAUCGGGAUGGGACUAAGACAUGCUAGUCGUGCGCUUCUAAGCCAUGGUGGAGGCGCGGCGCACAGCUCAGUAACACGUGGUUAACCUGCCCUUGGGACGGAAACACCCCCGGGAAACUGGGGCUAAUUUCCGAUAGGUGAAGACUCCUGGAAUGGAUCUUCGCCUAAAGGGCGCUUAGGCCAUGCUUCUAGGCGCUGCCCAAGGAUGGGACCGCGGCCGAUCAGGUUGUUGGUGAGGUAAUGGCUCACCAAGCCUUUAACCGGUUCGGGCCGUGGGAGCGGGAGCCCGGAGAUGGGCACUGAGACAAGGGCCCAGGUCCUACGGGGCGCAGCAGUCGCGAAAACUCCGCAAUACGCGAAGGCGUGACGGGGCUAUCCCGAGUGCCGUCCGCUGAGGAUGGCUUUUCCCCAGUGUAGAUAGCUGGGGGAAUAAGGAGAGGGCAAGUCUGGUGUCAGCCGCCGCGGUAAUACCAGCUCUCCGAGUGGUGGGGACGUUUAUUGGGCCUGAAGCAUCCGUAGCCAGCUGAGCAAGUCCCCAGUUAAAUCCAGCGAUUUAAUCGUUGGACUGCUGGGGAUACUGUCCGGCUUGGGGGUGGGAGAGGCCGAC
rnacentral:rRNA from 1 species